rnacentral:rRNA from 1 species
CACCAGCGCCACGAGUGGGAAUCGUAUUUAUUGGGUCUAAAGCGUCCGUAGCCGGUUUAGUAAGUCUCUUGUGAAAUCAUUAGGCCUAACCUAAUGGCGUGCUUGAGAUACUGUUAAACUUGGAACUAGGAGGAGUCAGAAGAAUUUCUGGGGGAGCGGUAAAAUGCUAUAAUCCCAGAAGGACUACCUGUGGCGAAAGCGUCUGACUAGUAUAGAUUCGACGGUGAGGGACGAAAGCUAGGGGAGCAAUCCG